UUUGCUGCAGCCUUUUGAAGAGGCAUCUGCUGUCAACCCCAUCCAGAUAAAAAAUGCAAGCAGCAAAUGUCAUGAACACUGUGUACCUUAGACACACUGCUAGUCAUCUGAAAUGAGCAUUCUUCUCACAGGAUGGCUGAGGUGUCUUCAGUGUCCAUCUGCUCAAACCCUUGCCUGUGCGGGGACACUCAAAGGACUGUCCAGGCAGCUUCUGAAGAUCUCUGUGGAGGAGACACCACAGCUUCCCUGGACAACCUGUGUCAGUGCUCCAUCAUCUACACAACACAGAAGUGCUGCUUGAUUUUCAGUGGGAACUUCCUCUGUUUCAUUUUGUUUCUCAGGGCCCACUGGAAACAAAUGAAAAGAAUCGAGAGGUGCUCCAAUCUCUUCCGUAUCUUCAUGGCCCUUCUCAGAAGUCUGUAUCUUCUCCAGUAUGCCUACAUCUCUUGUGUGGGGGAUCACAGCAUAGGACCUACUGGUGUGACCUCACAGGUGCUGGGUAGAGGGGACCUUCCCCAUUGCCUUGACACAGCCCACGAUACCACUAGCUUUCUGCAUAGCAAAGGAACAUUGCUGGCUCCUAUUCAGCUUGAUGUCUACCUCACACAUCCAGGUCCUCCUAUGCUAAGCUGCUAACUUUUAGCAAUUUUAAGCACAAGGAGGCUUUCCAACUAUUGAUGUUACUGAAGACUUCCAUGUUUCUUGGAGAAAUGACCAACAAAGCGUUCUCUGAACCUUUCAGGCAACUGGUAGGCUCAUAGUCCAUGUGGAACUGAUAACAAACAGCCAGAUGUAUAAUUCUGGAGCAAGCUGUCAAGUAGGGUCAUUAAAAAAGCUAACAGCGCACCUCUCCCUUAUCAAACAGUAGGGCUGAGCUAGUGAGAAUAGGCAGGGAGAGGUCAGACCAUGGAUGAGUAGAUCUAAACACAAGACAUAGAAGGGUGUGGACAGAAGGGUACCUAGGAGGUACAUACACAGGUACUGCACUAACGCUGUCCCGGCCCGCUGAGACAGCUAACCCCAAGUUGCCUCGAGUGAGAAGCGACAUUCUCCACCCUGCCCCGCAAACACUGCCUGCCAGCUCCUUGUUUUGUGCUCGCGGUGACGGAGCCUCACACCCGCAGCCACCCAAGCUGCAGGUUCACCAGCACAG